UGCCCGGUGACCUACGGGUUAAACGGCCGCGGUACACUGACCGUGCAAAGGUAGCACAAUCACUUGCCUUUUAAUUGGAGGCUGGUAUGAAUGGUUUGACGAGGGCUGAGCUGUCUCUCCUGGAAUAUUUAAAAAUUAACUUCUAAGUGAAAAGGCUUAGAUUUAACUGAGGGACGAGAAGACCCUGUUGAGCUUUAGUGUGGGAUAAAAGGUUUAUUUUUAUUGGAAUAGAGGAUUUUGAGUUUAUUCUUACAUCUUUAGUUGGGGUGACUAGGGAACAUGGAAAGCUUCUCUGUUGAUUUGUAGAAUUUUGGUUUACUAACGAGUGAUCCAGCAUUGCUGAUUAUCGGAAAAAGUUACCACAGGGAUAACAGCGUAAUCUUUCUGGAGAGUUCACAUUGAAAGAAGGGUUUGCGACCU
rnacentral:rRNA from 1 species